UAUGUAGAAUCUAAAACAAUUAAACUUGUAGAAACAGGAAGUCAAAUGGUGGAUACCAGAGGCUAGAGGGUAGUGAGAAUGAGGAGAUGAUGGUCAAAAGGUACAAAGCCUCAGUUAGACAGAAGGAUUAGACAUUUUUUGAGAUCUAUUGUACAUCAUGGUGAAUAUAGUUAAUAAUAGUGUACAGCACAUUAGAAAUUACUAAGCUAACGCAUUUCAAAUGUUCUCACCCUCCAAAAUACUAAGCAUUCGAGGUGAUAAGCAUGUUAAUUAGCUUAAUUUAAUUAUUCCACAUUGCAUUCAUAAAUCAAAACAUCACUUUGUACCUCAUAAAUAUAUCCAACUAUAAAAUUUUCAUUUACAAUAAAAAUUAAUUAAUUAAAAGAUCCUAGUUGGAUUCUGUAAUCACACUGCCAAAAUAAAAAGUCAGAACUCCAAUUAGCAGAUAAAAAUGCAAACAUAUGGAUCCUAGUUCAAAGGUUGUAACGACAUGCACAUUAUUAAAUGUUCAAAUUAUGUGUCUGUGUGAAAAAUCAUUAAAAUGUGUUUUCCCAUUAAGUGAUUUUUUUCCUAAAUAAUCAGUUCAUUAGCUCUAGAUAGGAGAUUUUCAACUCUAUUAUUUUUAUUUAACUUAUUGAAAAAAAUAGACCUUCAUGGACCUGUGUAACUUGACCCACUGAUAACAAACAAAGCAAAAUUCUGCUAAAUUCUAGGGUGGUGUUCUUCCAUUAUAUUAAAGUGUAUCCCCUAAUCUGUAUGUUAUAGUUCUUGUAGUUUAGACCCUUGUUUUAAUUCUGAGACUGACUUUAUAAUGCCAUUGCUAAAUAUUGCAAGUUGAUGUUUACUGUGGGGAUGUGGGGAUGCACUUCACAUAUCCCUUCAGGGGAACUUGCAGUGGAGGACACCCUGACUGUCAUACCUUUAAAUAUACUUCAGUCUUAACACCAAAGUAUUCAGCAAGACUACUUUUCCUGCAAGAUGUUUCCAGCCAGUGUGGGAACAUACAGUGGGGAAUACUAGAGCCAGAUAACUAUCAUUCCUGUGGAACUCCUGUAAUAGACAACCUUUGUGUCUCGUGGGAAAGCUGUAAGAUAUUCUCUGUAGGCUGGCACUGAGGAACUACACUAUAGUUUGAGGCUCUUUCUUUCUCAUCCUUUAUUCGCUCCUUUUUUUCACAGGGGUCAUUCAUGCAUCAUAGUCAGAAUGCCUUCUCUGUCCACAUUUGCUCUCUCCCACUUCAUCCUUCAAAGGCAUUCCCCCCAUUAAGUUGCAUGUACAUCAAAAUCCAGUUUUAAUGUUUGCUUCUAGGAGGACCUAGGCUGGAAGCGGGUACUGAGAGUGGCCUAAAAUAGUAAGUGGUAAGAUGGAGUGUGGACGUUUCUCAUUCACUAUGCUGCUGAUAAUAUUAUCAGCACUAUCCUGAGUGCCCUAUCUUGAGUACAAAGGGGGGCAAGGCUAGUUCCUAACAUAGGAGGAUAGUCUAGUUGCUUAAGAGUUCAUCAGUGAAAAAGAUGUCUCAGUAAAGGAGAUGAUUUUUGCCAGUGCAAUGAUUCAAGCAUUUAAAAGAUAUGGGGAAAGCAAUGUCUACAAGGACACUGGAAUUGGCCAUUUAUUACUAAGUUGUACUGAUGCCAGGCAGAAGGUAAGGAGAAACUGAGAACUAUUGACAAGAAUAAAAGGCUAAAUGUAAAAGCAGAGGGCUUCUUUGGUUUACAAAAUAGCCUUUAUUUCCUGAACAGGAGACUUCUGAGGAGAAGCCUGGGAUGUAAUAGUUGAGGUCUUGGAGCUUUGGAGACGGUGCUAACUGCUUAGCUAAGGCUGAAUUGUUUUGCCAAGGAACCAAACUCAGAUGGAGAAUAGUGUGCAGGAAUUUUUAUGAGGAAAGGCUCCAAGGAUCAACACUUCUCAGGUACUGUUAAAGGCCUGAGUAACCAAAGACUACCAAGCAGAAAUCUGAAGCCGAAGGAAUCAGCUUUACUGACUUGAUGCAGGAAGGGAGGGCACUCCAGAGGAACGACAGAAUGUCACAUGAUGAGAGAGAGCAAAGGAAGCAUCGGUUUUCAAGUGUUGGUAGUGGCAACCCAGCUGCAACUAUGUAGCCAAUAGCAACAUAAGAAUCAAGACAGAAAAAAAUCUUGGAAAGGGUGGUUGUUAAACCAACCAGCUGUUUUGUUUCGGAGGCCUUCAAAAAAAUGCAGUGUUAUUCAUAAGAACACUAUUCACUGAAGUUGCAGCAAUGGCUCGCACAAAGCUUCUGGUUAACAGAAGAGAGACAGAGGAAAGAAUUCAAGUAUGAGAAGGUAAGGGUAACUUCAAAAUCACAGAAGUACAUGGGAGCAACCCAGUGGCCAAAGAGGACAAGAGACCACAUAGUGAGCUUUUGACACCCUUAGAGUGGCUCAGGAGUUCUUUAUUAUUCGAGCAAAAAAAUAAAAACAUGAUUUUCCCCUGGCAAUGAUUAGUACACGCCAUUGACCAAGAAGGAGCUCUUGAGAUUACAAUGUGCUAUGUCUUGGUUCUCACAGAAGUUUUCUUUCCUCUAAUGAAUAGCCAGUAUAAUGAUUUGUGGUGCUAUCCUAAAAAGUCAUACCAUAAUCCCCAUAAAUGAUGUUCAAGACAGCACUAGCUUGUUGUCACCUCUCUCUGUACUCUUUUGUUAGCUGCAGGAAGACCCUCAAAUAUGGAGAUUUGCAAUGUAAAGGAAAAAAUAGACUGGAGUUUAUUAUUCAGCUGGGAUGUUGCCCAUAUGUCCACGUGUGGUAAUAGUGUUCUCUCUUUCUAUAUGUGUUCUCAAAAUGGAUAAGUAAACGCCACAGCCCUGAGUUAGUAUGGGGUAUACUGAUGCCCUCUUAAUGUUUAAUUGCAGGGGAAGCAUUCCCUGGAAAAUAGCCAGGGUAUCUUGUGAACUGAACAAUUUUCGUUUAGUGCUGACUCUGCCUAGUUGACACUGAAGUGCUAUGAUCUUAUUCACUGCCCCAUACCCAAAAGCUGUGUGCAAUUUUCUGCUCUGCCUGGUAAGGAUGAUUUAGCCAUUGUCCUGUUUAGGUGAUAGCUAAUUUAAUCACUCAUGAUGUUAAUGCAAUGUAAUACAUAUGGUAAUAUUCAUGGCACCCUGCUUAGGGAGCCUUUGGGUUAUUUAGUGUCAGCCCAUUUCACUGGCCUAGACAGAGCUCAGGAAGGUUCAUUCUCUUCCCAAAAGCAUUUUGCACUCAUUAAUUUUUGCAAUGUUUUGAGUGUGAGGCAGAUUAUAUUCAGCUGCAAUAGCAGCGCUAUACGUAUUAGUAUUUUCUAGCACAUUUCUAUGUAUAUAGCUCUUUUUGACAUUAUUUGACAAAUAAAGGAUACAGUUACCUGCUGGGCAUCAAGCUCAUGUUGUCUCAAGCCUACAUCGGUUUAAGUUCUUAUGUUACUUCCCUGCCGCACUGGGGAUUCCAGUGCUCAGCAAACACCUCUUUCCUUGGUACAGUUGGAAGCAUAACCGUUAUCCCAUCUUGCUAUUGGAAAUGAUUAUAGUCACCCAGACAUGAACUCUGAUCACAGCAUUGCCUACUUUAAAUACAGUCCCUAGGAAAAGUGUGGUUUAUCUGAAGUGGUGAGUGGGGUUACAAGCGGGGGGUUAGCUGGAUUGUCGAUACAAUCAUGAACUCUACGAUAUUAUACCUAGAAGUCACUCAUUCAGUUCAUAUAUAUUAAAUGGAGAGAGGGAGGGAGGAAGAGAAAGAGAGAAAGAGAGGGAGGGAGGAGAGAGAGAGAGAGAGAGAGAGAGAGAGAGAGACAGAGUAGAUACCUAAGGGUCAAGGAGGGUAAGUGUUUUGCCAAAAUCAUGCAACUCAAUAGUUUCAGAAAUGAAAGUAAACCAGAUUCCCACAAUUUCUUGUCCCAUCACCCCCCAUUCCCUCCAGAGACAGUUUGACAAAGCCGUGACUGAAUUUUGCAGAAACUUUAGAUUCCAGGACCAAUGUCCUGAUACUCUUAGGCAAUGCUGCCAUUCAUUCUGCCACAAAUCAUCUGACCAGUAAAUACCGAGCACUCUUAAAGUGUCAGACACUGAGCUUAAGACACAGGAAACCAGAUAUAAAAGCCAUAUUGAGCCCCUCUGUUCAGACAUAUCCCUAUGUUAGGCCAUUUCUCUGGCAACCAAGGUGCCAUCUGAAGGGUUACUCCUGAACAAAUCUCUGUUGUUGAGCAGAAUUCGAUGGUACAGGGUAAAAACAGUUUUCAGUGAGUCUGAAACAUGAACAUAUAACUCAAUUAAUUUGGAAUAUUAUCUACAAAAUAUGUAAGUAUUGUCAGGGCUCAGAACAUGCUACCCCGAUUAUGGCACCUUGGAGUAACCUCAGUUACUCUCUGAAUUUUUCCUGCCUUUCUUCCCUGAAACAAGGUUGUAAAAAAAUUCUCUGACCUAUCUCCUUUGAAAGUAGGUUAUACAACCCUCAUUCCAAAAGGAUUCCGUGUAUAUCCAGAGGCCAAGAAGAAUCUGAAAAAAGAAUCUGGAUGCGUUCCCCCAGUUUAUUACCAUAAGAACACACAUAGCCUUUUGUCCUCCAAUCAUACUUCUUCAGGACUGUCCAUAAAAAAUACACAGCUUUCCCUGGGUCUUUGCAUUUUUAUUUCUGAAGACUCGGGUCAUGUAUAAUUUCCAUGAAAUAAAUUUGCCAUGCUUUUCUUUUUUUAAUCUGCCAUCGCCGUAGGGUAGAAGCAUGAACCUUGAGAUGGGUGAGGAAAAGAUACUACUUUUUCCCCCUAUAGUAUGCACAUGGGAUGACAACAUAAACAAAUAAUUUUAAAUAAACAAUAAAAUGAAAAUAGAGUAUCUUUUUACUAGCUGUAAACAGUGGAAAUAAGUGCGUUUAGUAGAUAUGUAGGAAUAGAAGAAAAGCACAAUGGAAGUGGCAUAUUGGAAUUAAUCAUUUUUUCUCUAAUUUAUUGGAAUUGCUUCCUACGGGAGAUGAGAUUUCAAGACUUGUUUGAGUGAUGAAGAAAAGGGAACUUGUCUGGGAGAAUCAGAAGUUUUGUGAGAGAAAGCAAUUUGCCCAAGGUCAUGUAACUAGCCAGUGUCAGAGUAAGGAAUUAAACACGUUGAAAAGAAAUGAAUGUUUCUGUAUCGAGUCUCUUUAUAAGAGCACCUUCAAGUUGAUGUCAAGAAUUUUCUCCAGGAGGUAGAAAAGAAUUACAGUGACCUUCAUGAAAUAAUACAUCGUGUCUCAGAGAAAAGAGACUCUGAGUUUUUCAGCUGAGAAACCUGGGUUCUGAGGGCAGAUCUGAACCUACUUUCCACAUUAUCCACAAAAUGCUUUCCAAAUCUCUGUCAAACCUAGAGCAAGACUAACUACCCCUCUGCAGAAGAUAAAAACUUGCUUUGUUCAACCUUUUAUCUAAGGAGUAUAAUCCUCAUUUUCCUCUUGAAAAUAAGAGUAAUAAAUGAAUGCAAACAUUCACAGCCGAUUUCUGUCAAGAAUCUCUCCCAACCAAUUAACCUGAGUACGAAUGGAGCAAAGCAAGCAGCUUAGCUGAUCACAGAAAUGCCAAGUCAGAGAGAAAUGUCUUUCAAUUAGUCAUAUCAUCCGAACCUGCAAUUUUACUUGCCUUAGGAUCAAAUUCCAUCCAUUUCCUGAACACCCUCUCUCCCAGUCCCUGGCCAUUCUCUUAUUUGCUUGUUUUUCUCCAUAGCAAAUCUCCCUAUCAGAAUUUUUAUAUUUUUUCCCACUCUCUUCCCCCACUGGAGUGAAAGCUCUGUGAAGCCCUAAGUUUUUGCUGUAACCAUAGUACCUAGAAUUGGAUAUAGCACAAUGAUAACAUCUAAUAAAUAUUUAUUAAACAAAUACAUAUCUAACAAACAAUAAAAUCUUCUAAUUUUUUUCAUUUUUUAAAUGGCAAUGAAAAUUUCUAAAAGCACACAAUUACUGAAUCAAAAUUGAGAGUAAACAAAUAUUUUCCAUGACACUAUGCUUUACCAUUAGUGUGGGUGACAGUUACUAAAUAUUACAUGCUACAUAUUGUAAAUACUAUCUUCUGAUAAGUGUGAAUCGUAGAAUUCAACCUGAAGAAUAUACAUGAUAUACAUGGACACUUCGCUUGAGACACCAAAGAUUCAGAAAACAUGUAUUGAGACUCACUGAUAGAAGUUACUUAAAACAAUCCAUUUUUUAUUUAUUUUUAGUUUCUAGUUUUUAAAAUGUUAAGAUAUUUAAUUGAAAAAUAAAAAUUGUGUAUAUUUAAGGUACAUAAGGUGAUUUUAUAUUUGUCUACAUUAUAUACUGAUUACUGCAGUCAAAUUAAUCAACACAUCAAUCACCACCCAUAGUUACCCCUUGAGUGUGUGUGUGUGGGGGGGUGGGGUGAGGACACAGUAUCUCUCUUAUAAAUUUAAAGGAAAUAAUGGAAUAUCAUUACCUAUAGUAUAGUAUUUCACUACACUAUACAUUAGAUCCACAGAACUUAAUUAUCUUACAGUUGAAAGUCCAUACCCUUUGAUUAGCCUCUCCUCACUCACCCACCCCCAGCUCCUGGCAACCACUAUUCUGUUCUGCUUCUAUAAGUUCAACUUAGAUUCCACAUAAGUAAAUUCUGUUUCACAGUGUCUAGAUAAUUUCACUCUUUUAAGAAUUGCUGAUGGAAGUCACUUAAAACACUUCACUUUUUUAAAAUGUUCAGUUUUAAAAAUAUACAUAAAAAUAUCCAGAUGCGAAAUAAUAUAAUUCCUUAGAAGACAUUAUUCCAAGAAUGGCCAUAGACCUUAGAGUCGGCUAGUCUUGGGAUUUGGAUCUUAGAUCUGCUGCUCAUUGAGCCCAUGACCUUGGCUAACUUAUCCAUGCAAAGAUUACAUUUCUCUCUCAGUAAACUGGAUAAAAUAAUAUCCACCUUGUAGUAAUGUUGUGAAUAUUAUACAUUUUAUCAGUAUUAUAUUUAAAUAUUAUUUAUA